AGAGUUUGAUCCUGGCUCAGAACGAACGCUGGCGGCAGGCCUAACACAUGCAAGUCGAGGGGGAAGCCACUUUCGGGUGGUGGAGACCGGCGCACGGGUGAGUAACGCGUGGGAAUUUACCCUGGGGUGGGGAAUAACCGCUGGAAACGGCGGCUAAUACCGCAUACGCCUUUCGAGGGAAAGCUUUAGUGCCCUGGGAUGAGCCCGCGUUAGAUUAGGUAGUUGGUGGGGUAAAGGCCUACCAAGCCAUCGAUCUAUAGCUGGUCUGAGAGGAUGAUCAGCCACACUGGGACUGAGACACGGCCCAGACUCCUACGGGAGGCAGCAGUGGGGAAUAUUGGACAAUGGGGGCAACCCUGAUCCAGCCAUGCCGCGUGCGUGAAGAAGGCCUUAGGGUUGUAAAGCGCUUUCACUGGUGAAGAUGAUGACGGUAGCCAGAGAAGAAGCCCCGGCUAACUCCGUGCCAGCAGCCGCGGUAAUACGGAGGGGGCAAGCGUUGUUCGGAAUUACUGGGCGUAAAGGGCGCGUAGGCGGGAAGUCAAGUUAGGGGUGAAAGGCCUGGGCUCAACCUAGGAACUGCCUCUAAAACUGGCUAUCUAGAGUCCGGGAGAGGAUGGCGGAAUUCCCAGUGUAGAGGUGAAAUUCGUAGAUAUUGGGAAGAACACCAGUGGCGAAGGCGGCCAUCUGGUCCGGCACUGA
rnacentral:rRNA from 1 species